GAAACCUAAUAUUAUCGGUCCUAAAAAUCAAUUUUCUCUCUGUCCUCCACCCUCGUCCUAUCACUGAUGUAAUUUCAAUAUGUAGUUUGUCUAGUUUGAAUCUUCUUCUAAGCCAGUGGCUGUGGCUCCAUCGUCCGAUUAUCUAUCCAUGGUUACUAGCGACCUCGAGUUUCUGAUUGAGUUCGGUAACAGCCUCCCGCGGCGCCGGCGGACACGCAGGCGGCGCAAUUGAUACAGACGCUGUUCAAGCCCUCGGUCGUGUCGGCGCCCGCGGCGGCAGGUCGAUUCCGUGUUGGUCGCAGACUUGUAGGCACCUUCGGCUCCCCUCCUGCCGGAUGCCAAUGGCCUGGUCAGGCCUGUUAAAGGGCAUGUGUGGUAGGUAAUGAGAAACUAUUUAUGAUUGGUGGACAUGAGGGAGACUUUAUGACUAAACCAGGAUCACCUGUUUUUAAAUGUUGGUGGAACUACAGAAAAGCAUGCCAUCACCAAGAAGAUGAUUCUUGUUGGUGAAGUCUUCCGUUUUGAUUUGGAAGCAUUGACCUGGUCAGUCAUUGGGCGCAUGCCUUUCCGAAUCAAGACAUCCUUAUCUAGGUACUGACUACUGAGAGGGGAGGGGGGCUCUGUUUUACUUCUGGGCAGCGAGAUCAUGGGCCUGACAAUCCAGCUCCAAAGAAAGUUGUUGGGAGUCUGGGACUAUGUGGAGAACGAGGCUGCACUUGUGAUGGCAGAAGUUGUGACAGUUUGUUUCCCCUGAAAAUUGUAGAUUUGCAUCUGAUUUCCUGUCCAACAGCUAGGUCCCUUUCAGAGAAGAGAGUUGCUUGUUUUGAUUCCCACAUCCGGAAUCCGAAGUUCAGAUAUGUCUCCAAACAACCAGAAGAUAUGGACAUAAGCAACUACCAAAGAUCAUUCUUAUUGGAGAUAUUCAGCGCAAAGCCCACCCACCAAAUAAUCAUGAUGUUCUUCUUUCCCUAGCUGUUGCAGAGAGGUCGGAACUGUUUGGGCUUUCACUAGCCAAUUAAAAUAUUAAGUAGCAAGCUGAGUACCAUGUCAGUAUUAAAUCUGUCUCUGUAAUUGCCUCCGAAAUUGGUGUGCGUGUUUCUCAUCUUGUUGGUUUCUUAGUAUAUGUAAUCUGCACUUAGAGGUACAAUAUAGGUGCACAGGGGCAGGACCUGUACUUAAAUGUUAGAAUACCUGUUCAGGGUUUGGAGUUUUUCCCGUGUAAUUACUAUUUCACCCCUCUGUAAUGGGCCUGGCCCAGUUUACUCGCAUCUAUUAAUAUAUCACCCAACCCCUGUUAGGGUUAGGGUUUUCACCGGUCAA